UUUUGACCUAACAUGCACUAAUCAAAUUAGUAACUGAUUUUGUGAGGUCCUAGUUCAUAAGGGAUUUAAACCUUUCUCUUGGGAUGUUGACUGCUUCCAGAUUAUGCAACAAAACAAACUAAUUAAUUGGAUCUAUCCAUCCACCCAUCAAUUGAUCUGUGAUCUACUCCUUCAUCUAUGUUGGUUACAUUUUUGUCAACUUGACAGAAGCUAGAGUCAUCUAUGAAUUGGGAAUGACAGUUGGAGAACCGCACCCAUCAAAUUGGUCUGUAAACAAGUCUGCAGACCAUUUUCAUGAUUGGUGACUGAUGUGUGGCACUGUGGGAAGUGCCACCCACAGCAGUGAAGUGACCAUGCAGACCAGAAUAACAAAAUGUCAUUCCUAUGAAGAGAUGUAGCAUAAGAGUGCUAUGGAACACCAGGUACAGAAGCCAAGGAGCAUUUUAGAAGCCUUCCACUGAUAGCAGAGAUGGAACCAUUUUACAGACAUUGCUCUGACUGAGAAAUUGUUAGUACAAUGCUCUGAGUUCUUCCUCAUUGAGGAGUAUCGGCUGGAUCGUCUCAUGAAUCAGGUGGACUUAUGUUGGAGGGUGACAUGGAGUAGGUUUGGGGGAAGGUUAGUAUAGUUCAUAUCACUUAUAGCCUGGAAGCAGUUUCAAUGACGAGGAACUAAUUUUUCACUUUCUGUCAACUGCUUUGUCCUGAAUGUGUAUAGAGCUUGAUGCUGGUC
rnacentral:lncRNA from 1 species